rnacentral:tRNA from 3 species
GGGGUUCUAGCUCAUCGGUAGAGCGCUCGCUUAGCAUCGGGCUGCGCAGCGUGCGAGAGGUACUGGAUUCGACUCCCAGGUACUCCA